rnacentral:rRNA from 1 species
AGUGAACGCUGGCGGUAGGCCUAACACAUGCAAGUCGAACGGCAGCACAGUAAGAGCUUGCUCUUACGGGUGGCGAGUGGCGGACGGGUGAGGAAUACAUCGGAAUCUACUUUUUCGUGGGGGAUAACGUAGGGAAACUUACGCUAAUACCGCAUACGACCUACGGGUGAAAGCAGGGGAUCUUCGGACCUUGCGCGAUUGAAUGAGCCGAUGUCGGAUUAGCUAGUUGGCGGGGUAAAGGCCCACCCAGGCGACGAUCCGUAGCUGGUCUGAGAGGAUGGUCAGCCACAUGGGAACUGAGACACGGUCCAGACUCCUACGGGAGGCAGCAGUGGGGAAUAUUGGACAAUGGGGGCGAGCCUGAUCCAGCCAUACCGCGUGGGUGAAGAAGGCCUUCGGGUUGGAAAGCCCUUUUGUUGGGAGAGAAAAGCAGCAGGUUAAUACCCCGCUGUUCUGACGGUACCCAAAGAAGAAGCACCGGCUAACUUCGUG